rnacentral:lncRNA from 1 species
GGUUGGAUGGGCUGUGUACAGCUGCAGCGAUCGGUAAGCUGCUCUGACAGCUGACGCUUAAAGUUAGUGAGGGAGAUAUAAGUCUCCAACUUCAGUGAUUUUUGCAAUUUGUUCCAGUCAUUGGCAGCAGAGAACUGGGAGGAAAGGCGGCCAAAGGAGCUGUUGGCUUUGGGGAUGACCAGUGAAAUAUACCUGCUGGAGCGUGUGCUGGAGCGCGGUGGGAGUUGCUAUGGUGACCAGUGAGCUGAGAUAAGGCGGAGUUUACCUAGCAAAUGUUUAUAGAUGAUCUGGAGCCAGUAGGUUUGGCGAUGAAUAUGAAGCGAGGACCAGCCAACGAGAGCAUACAGGUCACAGUGAUUAACCGAUGGUGAUUAAUUUAACCGUCUCCCCCUCCCCACCCCCCCUCUCUCUCUCGCUCUCGCUCUCUCUCACUCUCCCCCGCCCCCCCUCUCUCUCUCUCCCUCUCCCUCCCUCCCCCUCAUUCUCUUUCUCUCUCGCUCUCUCUCUCUCUCUCUCUCUCUCUCUCUCUCUCCCCCAAGUGUGCAUGUAGUCAAGGAGAUGUACAGUUGAAGUCAUAUACAGGCUCAAAUCGGCAGCCCAGCAGGCCCAUUCAGGGUGGUGAAUGGAAGCAGCUCCUGCGCUCGGAGAGCAGAGGUGUUUUUCUAUGGACACUGGAGGACUGUAUUGUGGCUUGAAAGCAGCUAAUGUGUGGAGAAAGAUGGACUGUGGGAAUGCUGUAGCUGCAACUUACAGACCUCAGUUUGGAGGGAAGUGGAGGAUACCAACUAGCAUGUAUUGAUUGCUAAGGUCAGGAUUCUACUCUUGAGCAGUGUACAUUAGUCUCACAUGGAGAUGGUGUCUUUGAGCAUAAGCAUAAUUAUGCUAAUGUCAUCUGCUCAGAUUUUGUCAAGUUUGUGGAUGAAGCUGGUUUCUGCUCUGGAAGAGUGGAGCUGAAGUCCAAUCAGUCCUGGACGUCAGGGUGUGAAGCUGACUUUGACUGGCAGGAUGCAGAGGACGUCUGUCGGGAGCUUGGCUGUGGCACCUUGUUGAGAAUAGAUAAAUAAAUAGUAUGUACUCUUCUUUCUCCAGAGUCUGAUGAUGUGAGGCUGGUGGGAGGAGGCAGUCGCUGCGUUGGUAGAGUGGAAUGGUACCAACAGGGAAAGAGGAAUAUGUGGCCUGUAAAAUAUGGCUGGAAAUUGAAGGAUGUCGCUGAUGUUUUUGUGUAGACAGCUGGACUGUGGCUCCACUGUUUCAACACUACUUGGGAAAAUGCACUGAAGGGUUUGAAGUGUACUGUAAUGGACCUGAGCCGGCGCUCAGGGACUGUGGAAGAGGCACAGGGCCAACUUUGGUGACUCCAUUAAAGGUGAUCUGCUCAGAUCUCCCGCUUAAGCCUGAUAUCUCCAUGACCAUCUCAAUGGGACGGGUCUCCAGGGGCCACCAAAGGACUCUAGAGGUGUUCAGGGGCCACAGCUUCACCAGCACCUGCUCCACUCAGCCACAGCACCCGGGUGUCUCCUUCCUCCUCACGUACCCUGACUCCAAAACAACCCAGACCUAGCCAGCUGUCUAUCACUCUGCUGCCUUCCUCUUUCCCGCUGCAGAUGGCUUCCACCAAGGGAACUACAGCUGUGUUCAUGAGAUUUAUGUUUUUUCACAUGACUUCUCUUCUGAGAGUGAGCUCCUCUCCCUCACUGUCACAGUCUCUCCUCUGACAGCUUUCCACUGUCGGUGAAAGCCAACUCCACCACCUAUCUGUACAUCAAGACCACCAAGAGGCCGAAGCGAGUGGAAGGGGUGAACUUGGAGAUGGUUUCUCUGAAGUCUACAGCUGUAGCCAGAUGGGGAGAGGAGAGAGCAGCCCAGGGUACAGAGUAGGGUGAAGUUGACUGAAAAGUCCAAGUGGGGUCCUUGGGAUGAAAGUUGAAAUUGAAAGUUAAAAUGUUUAAAAUGUAGUUGAAAUCUAAAACAUUUAACGUUGUAAAAAGUUAAGGGUUAAGGUUAGGGUUAAGGUUAGGGUUAUGGUUAUGGUAAGGUUUAGGGUAUCGAUGUCCCAAGGUUUCCGGGUGGCACUAACUGAAGUUGACCGUAGAGACGUUGACCUUAGGUCAGUUUUUUGUUUUCCAGAUAUGAUGGGACUGGUGUGGAUUUGAGGGGACUUUAAUCCCCAUCCAAUCUAAUUAAAUGAGUGGUAAGUUUCCAUUGAUGUUGCUAUUGUUAUGGCUACACUCCUAUUGUUGUAGUUGUCAUUGCUGCCAGACAUAAGAGUUGGCCAGAGCACAGUUAGCAUUAGCCUAGCUUAGCUGAGACAUGAUCAUAUGUCAGCGUAGGGCUAGGUUGCCCCGAGGUGCUGCUCUAAUAUCAACCACCAGCUGUCUCCACUGCUCCCCUCUAAGCCCCACUCGACUUGAGGGGUAACUUGUUCUUACCCUGGGUAACCAACUGAGCGCUCAAGAUACAAUACAAGAUACAAUACCUAAAUCCUAACCUUUGUCAGGUUAUAUCUGUGACAGUUUUUUUGGUUUUAAACUCAACUCUUGAGAUGGAUAACAAAGACAGUUACUUAAUAUAAAGCAUUGAGUUUCCAUUCAUAUAUAGCUACUAAUCACCUUGAGGGGAAAAAAAUGGGAAAAGUCACAUCAACUAAUUUGAACGUUUUUUUAUUUAAGUGAAAGACAUGAUAUUACACGUGACAUGAUAGCUAAUAAAGAUGUACACAUCAUUUAUUACAAGAAUUGUUUGGAAUCACUUCCCUGUGCUCACUCAAAACCUCCACUCCUUCAGUCUGGGUUAGACACACAGAUGGCAGCCAAUCUCUUCAGUAAAUAUCAGUAGUUUCAUUGACUCCAGCUCAGAAUAAAGAGAAAACCCUAACAAAACGAGUGGUAGAAACCCCAUCAGAGGACACAUUCUGCCCACAGAGUCCAAUCAUGGCUUCAGAGAGCUAAAUAACCAUGGUGAUAUUGUCUGAACAGCUGUUUGUGUGUGAAAGUGAGAGUGCAUUGCGCAUAUAUGUUCCUGUGACUUUUUGCUAUUUUGCUAUUAUUAGCAUCAAAUGAUGUUAUUUGUGUGGGUCAGUGCAAAUAGUGUACAUGUGGGUGGGUUGUGCGUGUGUGUUCAGCAGUGGGUGAUCAGUGUGUGCACGGAGGUGUGUGCGAGGGAGCUGCGUGAAGGAUUAGCCCCAGUGUGUGUCCACCAGUGAUUAGCCUGGUCAGUGGGCCUGUUGUGCAUUCACCCAGUCCAUUAGCAUAUUAAUGCUGCCUCCCUCUUGAUCUCUCUGUCUCUCUCUUUUCUCCACCCUCUCUCUUUCUCUUUCCUUUCUAUAGCUAUUUCCCGAGUCUCGCUCGAACUUCCUCCCUGGCAAUUUUUUUCUCAACUUAUUUUGUACUUCCCUUUCUCUCUGCGCUCAGUUUGGGCCCUUCGUACUUUACACAUUUCUCUCUUCCUUGUUCUCUUGUCUUUCCCUCCAAAAAUGUCCUAUUGCCCUUUUCUCCUCCUUCUUUCUCUUCCGAAAUCCCUCCUUCCCUGAUAAUCCCAGUCUCUCGCCCCAAGCCCCGUCUCUCCCUACAAUCUCCAAAUCCUUUACAGUGCUUUACUUUCGCUCUCGUUUUCCCUAUUAUUCCGUAGCCUAACCCCUGAACCUUGCCAAACACAGGCAAAUGCAAACACACACACCUCACUUCAUUCAUUCAAUCUAAUUUUCUCUCACUCUCUCCCCUUUCCUGCUAGAAGUGUGCAUCUUGUGAGACCUUUUGUGAAUAGCUUUGAAAGAAAAAGCAACCUAGAAAACAGGGACUGAAGUGCAAACCGGACACAUUCAACAGUACUUAACAUUAUAAAUGCUAUUCAUUUCUCCCUCUAAUGACUUCAGCCUCCAAGUAGACUCAACCUCUUGUUCUGGCUCUUAACCGCCACCGUGAGCCACGUUUAGAAGCUGGAGAAUAGUAGAAGUAAAAAUAAUUUCUUGGAAAAAGCCCAGUGUGCUAAAGGUGAGCAUUUAUACCCACACGUUUCCUUCUGUCCCUUCCAUGUCUGCAUUACUGGAGAUUUCUGGAGGUCAGGGGCGUGAUGUCCAUCCACAACUCCUGGUUUCAGGGAGGCAGACACAAGAAUUGCGUUUGGACAAUCAGCUCCGGACCCCCUGGGUCAGCACAUAGCAGGGAUGGAUGGGCAGACGUUUGGAUAGACAUAGGGUACAGAGAAACGUAUAGGGAAAUUAAGGCCUCUGAAACCCUAACUCAACCACCCUUUCUGUAUGUUCAUGACACAAUGAUGAACGCAGGGUCACUUUGCAGGGCAGCACCCCAAGGCAGCAGCAAUGUGACCCAUACAAAAGGGCUCCCCAUGGUCACACGGAUCAAAGAGACAAAAGCUCCCUAUGAUAACUUAGUGCAGCCGAGUGUUAACACAUGAGCAGCCAAGGUAAGAGCUGGAAACAAAAGUGAGAAGUUGAAACAAAAGUAGCCCCCCAAACUGAAUUGCUCUAUGCAACAUUUGUCUUUCAAUAUGAGCUGUGUCAAAAUGAAUAAUAUGGGCCGCUUUCGAAAGGCCUCAGCCAUUCAUUGAUGCUCCAUGUGCUGCUCACAAUUGAAGAGCAGCCCCGUACGCCCCACAAAGAGAAAUAAAGUAUUUCAUAUCCAUAUCUUAAAGUUAAUGUUAACAGUUAUUUGUUUGAGUAGAUACUAUUGAGUAGAUACUAUAAAAAGUCAUAUUUAAAAGUCUAAUGAAGACUUGUUUUUCUUUUGAAUUCAGAAAAUGCCCUUUUUCUUAAAUAUUUGAUUACAGAAAAAAAGUGGUUCAUUUAAAAUCUGGUUAAAUUAACCUCUUUUAAAUAUCAAAAACUAAAUCUGGAUUUUUACAGUACUUAGUACAUUUUUUCCCCACAGAGGAUGUUUAGAAGGUUCAAUAAAGUGUAUUUCCCUUCCUGAAUAUCAGCCACGACUGGAAAAUAAAAGCUAGUCACCCAUUUUUACCCAUUCAUCUUGAGAAGUUUCUUCAAAGUGGUAGUAAUCUGUUAAGCAGCAGUGAAGUUGUUCCACUGUCCCGGCAAGGAAUCCAACGAGAGUCCAACUGCUGCAUCUGGUCUACGACAUGGCUCCGUGUCUCAGAUACGACCUCAGAUACGACCUGAGGCCUAAAAACAUUGACACGUUAUAACAAAUAAAAACCCUGCUGCUCAAAGGUGUAGAAAUUCAUCCUGAAAUAUUUUUUUAUCUUCUUCCCUCAGAUAGGUUAUUGUUUUAGCUGCGUUGCGUUCAAUGUCUGACACACUUGUCCUACUUUAGCAUCUUAACUCUUGCCUUCUCUGCUCCUGCAUCCUUCUCUCUUGCGUUCUCCGACCCUUUCUGCCUGUUCUUCCUUCCGUCUUUCAAUUUCCUUCACUCCCCCCUCUCUCUCUUUUUUUCUCUCUCUCUCUCGCUCUCUCGCUCUCUGUCUCUCUCUCUUCAUUUCAUGCAGCACUGGGGUUACCUAAGAGACUGGGCCUCAAUGAAGAAAAUCUCCUUUGGUACAAUGAACUGGGCGAGAGGCAGAGGGGGAGAAGUGGGGUGGGGGGGGAAAGAUAGUGAUGCAGAUGCGGGACAGAGGGAUCCAAAAUCCAAAAUUGAAUAAAUGGUUGCGCUUGUGUGAUUUCGCUUCAAUGGUCCGUCUUUUGGGGUCGCCGUUGGCGCCUCUUGAUCAGUCAGUCUGUUGGGCUGAGCUGAAAACAUCUCCCACUUUUGAAUCUUAUGCUGAAUUUCCAACUAACCUCUCCCUGUAUAAAAGUGCUAGAAAAUGUAAAAAAAAAAAAUCCAACUGUUCUUAUAAGACUAGGAGAUCAUUUUGUUUUUAAUAGUGUUGUUUUCAUGUAGGCCUAUACGGCUGCGUUCAUACAGGCAUCCCAAAUCUGACCUUCUUGUCAUUAAUUGGUCUUUUGACCAAUCAGAUCAGCUCAAAAAAAGCUAUUAGUAGAAAAAAAAUCUGAAUUGAGCUGCCUGUGUAGAUGCAGCCUAUGGGAUUUACCUUUUCAAACCUAAUUGUACAGAUUUUUGAAAUAUGAUGCUUUUGGGAGUAUUCGGCAGUUUCAAUAGGAGCCAUUUUGUGUGUUUGUUUGUGUACUCUGAGUGGGAGGUGAAACGGCAUUGAGGAUCAGACUGCUCUAUUAAAGGACAAGUGUGUGUUUUGACAACACAACACCAACAUGGUCACAGGCCCAUUCAACACAAUUAAACAUCAUCCCUGUUUUAUUUAACACAUUUGCCCCAGAAUCAACUUAAUUUGUCACGUCAAAAAAAUGAAACUAGUGAUAAGUAAUUUUCACAAAAUGUUCUGCAAGCACCUUAUUGGGUAUGUUAAUGAUAUUAUUAUUCUUUCCAUUUGUUUUGGAGCAGCAUACAAAUUCCUAUUGCUCCAAUCUGUCUCUUUACAUCUCUCCUUAAAGCUACCCUUUGCAGAAUGUGAGAAGAACAAUAGGACUAAUAAAAGUGGUUUAGCUAAUAAUUAUGAAGUUAGUUGAUGAAGUUAGUUACCACUCCCACUCCC